rnacentral:rRNA from 1 species
GACGAACGCUGGCGGCGUGCUUAACACAUGCAAGUCGAGCGAUGAAAUCCCUUCGGGGAUGGAUUAGCGGCGGACGGGUGAGUAACACGUGGGUAACCUGCCUCAUAGAGGGGAAUAGCCUUCCGAAAGGAAGAUUAAUACCGCAUAAGAUUGUAGCUUCGCAUGAAGCAGCAAUUAAAGGAGCAAUCCGCUAUGAGAUGGACCCGCGUCGCAUUAGCUAGUUGGUGAGGUAACGGCUCACCAAGGCGACGAUGCGUAGCCGACCUGAGAGGGUGAUCGGCCACAUUGGGACUGAGACACGGCCCAGACUCCUACGGGAGGCAGCAGUGGGGAAUAUUGCACAAUGGGGGAAACCCUGAUGCAGCAACGCCGCGUGAGUGAUGACGGUCUUCGGGUUGUAAAGCUCUGUCUUCAGGGACGAUAAUGACGGUACCUGAGGAGGAAGCCACGGCUAACUACGUGCCAGCCGCCGCCGUAAGAC